CAGUGGCGAACGGGUGAGUAACACGUGGGCAAUCUGCCCUGCACUCUGGGACAAGCCCUGGAAACGGGGUCUAAUACCGGAUAUGACCUGGGACCGCAUGGUCCUGGGUGUAAAGCUCCGGCGGUGCAGGAUGAGCCCGCGGCCUAUCAGCUUGUUGGUGGGGUAAUGGCCUACCAAGGCGACGACGGGUAGCCGGCCUGAGAGGGCGACCGGCCACACUGGGACUGAGACACGGCCCAGACUCCUACGGGAGGCAGCAGUGGGGAAUAUUGCACAAUGGGCGAAAGCCUGAUGCAGCGACGCCGCGUGAGGGAUGACGGCCUUCGGGUUGUAAACCUCUUUCAGCAGGGAAGAAGCGCAAGUGACGGUACCUGCAGAAGAAGCACCGGCUAACUACGUGCCAGCAGCCGCGGUAAUACGUAGGGUGCGAGCGUUGUCCGGAAUUAUUGGGCGUAAAGAGCUCGUAGGCGGCCUGUCGCGUCGGAUGUGAAAGCCCGGGGCUUAACCCCGGGUCUGCAUUCGAUACGGGCAGGCUAGAGUGUGGUAGGGGAGAUCGGAAUUCCU
rnacentral:rRNA from 1 species